UACGGAGGGUGCGAGCGUUGUCCGGAAUCACUGGGCGUAAAGGGCGCGUAGGUGGCGCGGGCAGUCAACGGUGAAAGUUCGGGGCUCAACCCUGAAUCGGCCGUCGAUACUCCCGUGCUUGAGCACUGUAGAGGCAGAUGGAAUUCCGGGUGUAGCGGUGGAAUGCGUAGAGAUCGGAAAGAACACCAACGGCGAAAGCACUCUGCUGGGCCGACACUGACACUCAGAGACGAAAGCUAGGGGAGCGAAUGGG
rnacentral:rRNA from 1 species